UACAGAGGUCUCAAGCGUUGUUCGGAUUCAUUGGGCGUAAAGGGUGCGUAGGUGGCGCGCUAAGUCAGGUGUGAAAUCUCGGAGCUUAACUCCGAAACUGCAUUCGAUACUGCGGUGCUUGAGGACUGGAGAGGAGACUGGAAUUCAUGGUGUAGCAGUGAAAUGCGUAGAGAUCAUGAGGAAGACCAGUGGCGAAGGCGGGUCUCUGGACAGUUCCUGACGCUGAGGCACGAAGGUCAGGGGAGCAAACGGG
rnacentral:rRNA from 1 species